GCUGGAGUAGAGUAGUAGUUAACUCGUCGCCCUUCCAAGGCGAAGACUCGGGUGCAAAUCCCGGCUCCAGCA
rfam:Myceliophthora thermophila ATCC 42464 chromosome 1, complete sequence.